UUGGAGUAUUGGUACUAUAGAGUCCGAACUCCUAACAUUGAUGACUGGGUACUUGAGUGAUGCAACUGCUGCUGUGGAUGCCUUAUCAGUUUGCAUGACUAUUAAUGGUUGGGAACUCGAUCAUGAUUCCUUUAGCCUUCUUUACUGGGACAGGAUCUUUUGAAGCUGCUGGUGCUUUUGAGGACUUUGUAGAGAGUAAUUAUGGGGAAGUUGAUUGUAUCCAUCCACUCUGUGAACCAGCUCUACUUUACAGUCCUACACAUGGUUGAUCCCUUAUUCUAUGUCUGGAAGAUAUCAAGUAACAUAAAACACUUCCUAAUUACAAUUGUUCUAGGGGACUGAAAAAUGCUCUAUAAUAAAAGACUAAUUUUUAGAUUUUUAUUCCAAGCCUUACACUGGUGAUAUCAAGUCCAGUGACCGUAAAAAAAAAUUGGCCUAAACAAUAUUGACAAUAUACAAACAUCUUCUCCACCU